rnacentral:ncRNA from 1 species
AUGUCUCUCAGGUUCUGACAAAGGCCCUCGGAAUGGUCAGAACCUUUGGCCGGAAAGUGAUUUCCGGCCUUUUUUC